CGUGAGCGGCGGACGGGUGAGUAACGCGUGGGUAACCUGCCUCAUACAGGGGGAUAACAGUUGGAAACGGCUGCUAAUACCGCAUAAGCGCACAGUACCGCAUGGUACGGUGUGAAAAACUCCGGUGGUAUGAGAUGGACCCGCGUCUGAUUAGGUAGUUGGUGGGGUAACGGCCUACCAAGCCGACGAUCAGUAGCCGACCUGAGAGGGUGACGGCCACAUUGGGACUGAGACACGGCCCAA
rnacentral:rRNA from 1 species